rnacentral:rRNA from 1 species
GACUAUGGCCAUGCCACCUUGAACAUGCCUGAUCUCAUCUGAUCUCGGAAGCUAAGCAGAGUGGGACCUGGUUAGUACUAGAAUAGGAGACCACCUAGGAAGACCAGGUGCUGUAGGUG